UAGUGAGAAGCUAUGAAAGGCUGUGAAAAUGUCUCCAUGGGACCAGAUCUUCUUGGAGAGUUCUACCUAGAAAUAGUUGUCUUCCUUGUCCAUAUGUUUAUUGACUUCUCCAAAGAUUUGAGAAGGUUUAAGGAGUGAGACUUUCUUCUUGACUUGAGUCUUCAUGACUUGUUGCUGGUCCUUUUGUAGAUUUGGUUGCAUAUUUUUUCUUGAUACGGAAAAUGGAUCGUCCGGUGUUUGCUAUGUAAAGAAGGCUCCUGUGGUGUUUCCUUCAACAAAAGUAUAUGACUGUUUCCAGGACCUGCAGAGAUGAAAGACGCAAAGAAGUGAGAGGAGACAGGGGAAGUCAUGAAGGCGGUGGAAGAAAAGAGGAGACAUGGAACACAUUAACUUUGACAUCAGUUCUAGAGAAAAGACAUUACAUGACGGCUCGUCUCACUGAAGAGCCGAAUGGCAGUGGGGAAGAGUCAGAGCAGUCCCGCGCUGCCUGCCAUCGUGACCUGCAGGAAGGGAGGCAGCAGGAGUCAGCAGCGAGGGUGCUGAGCCGUGGGGUGCAGGAUGAGGCAGAACACCGCCUGCCCCAAGCUGUAAGCUGUCCUUCUCCCUGCUUACCAACCAGUUGUAGUCCUGGGAAGCUGAGAAGUCAUUUCAGUAAUUUCAGCAGUUUUUAGAUGAGGUUCCCUUUUGUAACCCAACCCUAUUUCCUCCAAAUAUCAUUUAAUUCGGGUCAGGGAGCUGGGCAAUACUGUUACUAGUGAUUUGCCAUAUCACUUUUUUGAUGUCAAUGCUGCUGUUUCUUCGGUCAGGAGGAUCAUCAACGCUCACAGAGAACAAAACUUUCUGUAAAUCCUACAGUCAUCUUCUCCAUGUGAGUAAAUACUCAAGACAAAUUAUAUCUGUAAAAUUACCUGUCGUGCUUUUUUUUUUGCAUUAAAAAGCCAGCUAAAUCUGCAGCAGAUGUAAUAGCACACUUCUGUAGC